rnacentral:misc_RNA from 1 species
GAAAUGCGAUAAGUAAUGUGAAUUACAGAAUUCAGUGAAUCAUCGAAUCUUUGAACGCACAUUGCGCCCGCCAGUAUUCUGGCGGGCAUGCCUGUUCGAGCGUCAUUUCAACCAUCAAGCCCCGGGCUUGUGUUGGGGACCUGCGGCUGCCGCAGGCCCUGAAAAGCAGUGGCGGGCUCGCUGUCACACCGAGCGUAGUAGCAUACAUCUCGCUCUGGGCGUGCUGCGGGUUCCGGCCGUUAAACCACCUUCGUAACCCAAGGUUGACCUCGGAUCAGGUAGGAAGACCCGCUGAACUUAAGC